CCAUGUUGGCCAGGCUGGUCUCGAACUCCUGACCUCAAGCGAUCCUCAUGCCUCGGCCUUCCAAGGUGCUGGGACUACAGGCACAUCCACCGCACCUGGCCCCAUCCUCUGCUCUCAGAAGGGAGGAACCACCCUGGGGCUUCAUGGUCACCCCCUACACAUAUGGCCCUGAUGGGUCCCCAGCCCUGCCUGGGUGGUGCUGAGCCCAUGUCGGCCUCCCAGGAGCCCAGGCUGGCUGAGCUGCAGGAAAAUCCGUGUCAUCCCUGCACUGACAUUGGCCACAGAGAGAGGCAGGACAGCUGUCACUGAACCUGCAGGAAGCAGGUGAGUGAGGCACAGGAGUCCCGGCCGCGAUGGGGGUGUGGGGGGCACUGGCAGCUGCAGCAGGCCAGGCUGAGACUUCCUGGGGCUGGUGGACCACUCACUUCCUUGGUGGGGAUGGAGGCAGGUGGACCCACGUGGACCAUAUCCUACUGCACUUGCCCGGCCCUGUACGUGCCCCUCCUCACAGCCACCCAUCUUACAGAAGGGGAAACUGAGACUGUGAUUCACUCAGGUCCACGCAAGGUUUCUUCUCCCACCAUUCAGCUCGGAGCCGAGCUCUGGGCUCUGCAGCAAACGGGACAGGCUGGGCCAGCUCCCCUCCCUGGUUCUCCUCCUCUCAGCCCCUGGACUCAGGCCCAGGCUGUCCUCUUGUGGAAACCAAAACUGUGGAUUCAGGAAUGCGGGUCCGCCUGCCCCGAGCUGGAAAUGCGGGUCCACCUGCCCCGAGCUGGGAAUGCGGGUCCACCUGCCCCGAGCUGGGAAUGCGGGUCCACCUGCUUGCCCUGAGCUGGGAGUGCGGGUCCACCUGCCCCAUGCUGGUAAAGGAGCUUUGCUCCCUGGCUUUGGGUUGAGGCCAUGUCGGGAGUGCCCUCUGCUGGCCGGUCUGUUCCUCACGGGGCCCUGAGAGGGCUCCCGUGGGGAGGGAUCAGCAGGGCAUCCCCCCACCCUGGGGAGACCACCAACCUCUGUCCUGGUGGAGAGGGAGGAACAGAGCAGAGGCCAGAACAGGGGAGAAGUUGGUUUUAAAGCAGAGGUUUCGGCCGGGCGCGGUGGCUCACGCCUGUAAUCCCAGCACUUUGGGAGGCUGAGGAGGGUGGAUCACUUGAGCCCAGGAGCUCGAGACCAGCCUGGGCAACAUGGUGAAAUCCCGUCUCUACUAAAAACAAAAAUUAGCUGGGCG
rnacentral:lncRNA from 10 species